UAAAUAGGAUAAACAUUGUUUUCUUUUGUUCUGAAGUGAAAAUAUAGAUCAGACCCUUUUCUUCAGUUCACUGAGGUUUCCUCAAAUGGCUUGACACUACUGAAUUAACAAAGUUAGACUCUCCUCAAUUUUUUAAUGUAUUAAAAUAAAAGUCUCUUCCACUAAAACAUUCACUAGAAUUAUCAAAUCUUCACCAGUGAAGUGCAGUCAUUAGAUAGAUGGAUGGGUUUUUACUCCUCCUAUCAUUUUUAAUUGUCAUGGAAUUACAUUUAUCCUCCCUAAACCAGUACAAUGUAUGCUUUUCUUGGUUCAGUAGAAAGGGAUGCAUCCAAGGAAAGAUAAAUUAUUCCUUUAUCACCAAAACAUUUAUUAAAUGUCUAUAUUUUUAGGGGGCUGUGCUGAGUGUUAUAAAUGGGAAUUAAUUAGGCUAAAUUCCUGCCUCUAUCUCUAUUACAACAGAAGAUAGACAACAACGUUGCAGGAAUUUUAAGGCCAUUCAUUCAACAUGGGGAUGCGUUCAACAUGGGGAUGCAAACAGAUAAGUUUUUACCAUGAACAUUUGCAUCCUUGAGCACAGUAUAUUAGUGUACUGGGUGAAAAGGGUGAUGCAUGCCAUGUGAUUAAUUGCCUCUCACCAAACAUGGUAAGAAAGAUCCCUGCCAAAAUCCUAUGACUCGACAGAGUGCUGUCCAAAUGAGAUCAUGAUAAGAAGGAGUAGGCACAGUGGGUUUCUUUUUUAAUCAUCCAUAUCCAAUCUCAGAAAUUACUAAAAGAAAGGGAUUUCCAGCUUGCAUCUGCUUUAUACAUUUUAAAAAUCCUUUAUAUGCUGUGGGGAAAAAUGUUAAACAAGGAAUAAACUAGUUAUUGGCAAACAUCACAGAGAGGCACACUAGAGUAAUGGAAACGUCUCAUACACAUAGAAAUUUAAGCACAUGCUUAGAGAAUUAUACACAUUUUGUAUAUUACAUAUACUCAAUGCACUAACAUAUUAUUUACUCUACCUAUAUUCCCCAUCUCUACAUGGGAAGAUCUUAUUAAUCUUACCACAUCUCUCUCUCAAACUCAUUCCUUCUUCAUUUGUUUCAGGACAAUCAAAUUAACAUAAGUUGUGAAUCAUUUUGUUCUCGAUAAUUACAAUAACCUCCUAGUCAUUUUUUUGAUUUUCCAUUAUUGUCUUUCAUACAAUAUUGCUUCUGAGGAAGAAACUCACUUCAAAGCAAAAAAAGUACAAGAAUGGGCUCAUGCUCAUGGAUUUCACUGAUUUUACUAUGUACCCCACCAGUCUGAAGCAGCUGGCUUGAUAGAAUGAUGGAAUGUCCUUUUGAAGACUGAAUUACAGCACCAGCUAGGUAAUAAUACCUUUCAGGGCUGGAGCAAGAUUCUCCAGAAGGCUCUGAUUCAGCGUCAUUAUAUGGUACUGUUUCUCUGAUAGCUAGGAUAUAUAGGUCUAGGAGUCAAGGAGUGGAAAUGGGAGUGGCAUCACUCACAAUUACCCUUGGUGACCCGCUAGCAAAAUUUUGGUUCCUGUUUCUGCAGCUUUAAGUUCUGUCAGCCUAAAGGUCUUAGUUCCACAGAAACAAAUGCUUCUACCAGGAGACACAACAAUGAUUUCAUUGUAUUGGAAGUUAAGACUGCCACCUCGCCAUUUUGGGUUCCUCAUGCCUUUGAGUCAACAGGCAAGAAGAAAGUUGUGGUGUUGGCUGGGAUUAUUAAUCCUGAUCAUGAAGGGGAAAUUGAACUAAUCCUCCUCAAUAAAGGGAGAAACAAAAAUAAUGAAGGAUGAAAAUUUGGAGAGGCACUAUUUUCAGUAAUAGUCUUAUAAAUGAGUAAUAGCCAUUGGCAGUGGAGCAAGAUGGUGGAACAGAAGCCUACAACUUUUAUCCCCCUGUAGGAACACAAAAUUUUAACAACUACCUAAACAGAGGAAAGCACAGUCACAAGAAUUAAGAAUCAGACUGAUGCUCAUGGCUAUCUAAAGCCAUCCUCAUCAGCAGAGGAUCAAAACAAAUUGUAUCAGUACAGAAGGGAGGCACACCACAAAACUAAACCCCAUUUUUGACAGGCUUAUUUACUGCAAAAUAGGAUGAAAAUGCACUGCCAAACCCUUGUUGGAAACCUCACCCGUCUCUUGGAUUGCAGGAUGUCAUCCUCUCCUCCUGUCUGCCUGCCCCUUCUCAGUUUCCUUUACCGAGUUACUCUUCUCUGCUAUGCACUACAUGUAGAUGUUUCCCAGGGCUCUACCUGAUGAAUCAAAUUAUAUCUAUUGAGGUCUUCUAUUUAAAAGAAUUAAUUGGUAAGUUUCAACUUUCCACCCAACCAUCACUCAAUAUAUUUAGUUUAUA